GUACUAGCCGAAGAUCUCGACAGGAAAUUGGUGCAAUCGUUGUGUUUAUUGUUCUUAUAAUAGCAGUUUAUUGCUCUGAGAUAUUGUGAAUGGUUAUUCUUUUCAAUAUACAGUUAUUUCCAAACAUGAAAGAAAUGUGCGGAUGAGAGGGUUACGUUCUCUUUAGAAAUUAUCUGCAUAGGCAGUCAUUGCGUGUGCCUCAUUAGUACUAAAAAAUUGAGACGGGUUUAUUAGUUACGCGCAAGUGGGUUACUCUCGUGUGAACCAGAACACCCAGCUGAUGAUACUGGAACUUAAGUAUUAACGAGAGCAGUACUGUGGCUAAAGAGCUGUAUUCCACAAGUCCAUACUGGAAUAGCACAUAGCCUACCAAGAGCCAUACAAGAGCGUUUUUGCAGAAUACCAGUUUACAAUCUAUGCGGAGUUCCUUUCUCAGAUUGUUUGUCUGCUGCCAUGGAAUACAACAAUGGAGCAUUCUCAACAGGGGAGGAAAACCGGUAUGAAGAGAACAUGCUGGCUUUGUCCUUUCUUCGCUGUCUGAGGCGUUGGCUACUCUUCCAGUUAUCUGCCAACAGUGGGAUGCGGGAAAGUUCGACAACAUGGUGCUGGUGUGCUGACCCGGGGGAGCCCCAGAGGCACACACCCUGCUUGCCCCGGUCAAGCACAAGACCUCCUGGAAAUACGUGAUACUAAACAAUGACGUGUGGCUGUCCUGCUGUGACUUGUCUCUCCUGCAGAUAAAUUAGCAAAUUACUGGAGAUGGACAUGUUAUAUUUAUCUUGCUGACAGACUCGUGUCACAGUGACAGUGUUCUGCGCCAGGAUGUGGACAGUGUCCCAGGGUCGGAGCAAAUGGCAGGCACUAGUAGAUGAAUAUGUCAGGAAGGAGGUGACCAGGUGCAGAGGAAUGUUCACCAAGCUGCACCUGGUCACCUCCUUCCUGAAGUAUUCUGACCGCCAGACUCAAGUACUACAGCGUGAGAGACAUCUGGGGCUAUGCGGAGCCCUGAAACUCGGCACGGGUGAGGCCUCCAGAAAAUGAAACAGUGGCUCUCCCUGUUAAGAAGAUCCACCGAGCACAGGCUCACGACACACACAUCGUGAUGGCUAUGGAGCGGUUCAAAGUGCUGAGACAUGAGAUUCUCCAUUCCUGGGAACUAUCUUGCCCAUGGCGUGUACCCUUUAAAUUAUGGCGGUAAGAGAAUAAUUAUUUUUUAAUUAUGCACUUAAACUUUCGUUCCAUGGAAUUACAGAAAAAAUUAUUGGUUAACUGCAGUCGGCCAUUAUUGGCAGUCGUCAGAACAUAUUUUAAUUCCGUUUCGCUAAAAUCUGCACUCUGAACCGCUCCACAGCCACCAUGAUGUGUGUUUCGUGAGCCAGUACUUGGUGGAUCUUCUUAGCAGAGAGGCUAUCAGCCAUCGGUGGCCAUCGUCAGAACAACUGAAAUCAGCAUUGGAUACAGCAGUGUGUGUUCAGCCCUGUAAAAUACUCUCAUUCGAUGAUUUAGUGUCGUAGUUCUGUGUAUUUUGAGAUGCAUGGUUUAUUGUAAAUGUAUUCUGUAGGUCUAAAGGCUGUUCCCAUUUUGGAGCAAUGUAUUUCAUAAACAGUAUUUUCUAGGUUAGUCUCUUAAAUGGUAUACUCUACAUAUAGAGAAACUCUAUUUUUCCAAAGCUUUUGGAACCAAUUGUGCAGUUUUCCAGUUAAAAUGAGAUAUGGGUAACUACUUUUUCAGCUUAUUCUUUAAGAAUAGCUACCUGUUUCUGUUGGGCAUGAAUUGGGACAGGGUGAGAGGUUGGGUGAAAGGUAAACAUUUGGGUGAGUUUGUGGGGACACUGGGUUACCUUAGAUUGAGGCAAAGAUGAUUACAGGAGUGGAGGAGACACAUUUGCUGGUGGACGAAAACUGCAUACUAGCUAGAACUAAAACCUGUCACCUUUGCCUUUUGUGGGCAAAUGCUCUUACUGACUCAGUUAUUCUUAUUCAGGUUUCACUCAUGAUCAGCCCUGCCAGCUUUACUUCAGACAGUACCUUUCUGCUAAUUUCCAAACCUCACUCGAGUUCUCUUGCAUGCCUUGCUGUAUUAGUGCUGGAAGAAAGGGUGUUGUGGAGAGAUCAUUUGCCCCAACCUAAUGAAGUGUUUUUUGAAUGAACUUUUGCUUGAAAGUGAAGGGUGUGCUGUUGAAAAACUUGAUUUAAUCCCAAUAGUAUUAAUUCCACAAGAAGCAUAUGGGAGAAUUUUUAUGAAGUUUGGAAAGUAGAAGAGAGGAAAAGUGUGGCUUUAAGGCUGUGUUGUGAGUUGUCUGGGUAACUCAACUGAUAGCAUUUCUCCACAAAAGGCAAAGGUUUCAGGUUACACAGCCCAGCUUGCAUCUUUCAUUUGCCAAGAAGUUUCGACACAGCGCACACUCUGCAAUACUACAUAAAAUUUCAUUCACCUAACUAGUAUUUUAAUGUGUGAAUGCUACUAGUAAUGCAAUGAGCAUGUGAGCACGCAGACUGCCCUGCAGCAAUGCGCUUUGCAUGUGCUCUCCCCAUAACAAAUCUUGAGCCAGCAAUAAGUCAUCAGAUUGUCCCUGUCAGAAUCAGUCAGGCCAUCCCACCAAAAAUAGACAAUGUCUUUAGUGAAGGUGAAACCUGUGCUAUUUACAACUAAACUUGACAGUAUCAGAAGAAGAAAAACUGCACAUGAAUCUCUCUCCAUUGUACAAAAAAUGCUACUGCAUUGCUAUUACUGAAAAAAAUGAGACUAACCUGCCCGUAAUAAAUGCCUGCUUGUACAGUGUAAUGCACAUAAGCAUGCCAGCUUACUAGACACAGACAGGAGCCAGACCUGGAUCAGGUCCAUGCUGCAGGUCGACUGUGGGCUGGUAAACUAGCUAGCCUGCUUGUUUUUACGCAGUUUUCCAUACUCGUUUGGGCAAGUGCUGGGCAGCUCCUUGAAUUCCACCUCGGACACACACACACACACACACACACACACACACACACACACACACACACACACACACAGAGUUUACAGGAUGCAAUGACUGCCUUAGAUUAGCUUCAUGACUCUGGUGUCAAGAAGAGCCUUGAGUUUAGAGUUCAAAUAAUAAAAUAAAAUUUGCCAGAUAUAUGAAAGCUCACACUCUAGCUGAAAGCUCAAUUUCCUUUUACUGAUGAAAGAACUGAUCAACAAGUAAAGCUGAUAAUUCAUUCAAACUUUUGGGGGUGUCAAAAAACUUUUAGUAAAUGAACUUCAAAUAGCCUGAAGAAGGUGGAAGAUGCUAUGUCCACAUGGACCUGCUUAACAAAUUAAAUUUAUAAUCUUAUUUUCAUUUAGUCAAUUGCCACCUUUUGGUCCAAAUAAAUAUCUUGUCUAAAUCAUUUUAGAAUUGUUUUUGAUCUUCUGAUGACUUACAGGUGGUGAAUCACAGCAUCAUCGGCAAAUCAAGAUGCCAGCUCUGAUUGUUACCUAAAUUGUUCAUAUAGAUCAGGAACAGCAGAGAGCCUAAAAACUUACAGUAGUGCAAAUAUCAUUGUUACUUAACGGCUUUGUCAGUUACUAUGAACUGUCACCUUCCUGACAAGAAGUUGCCAAUCCAGUCACAAAACUGAGAUGAUACUGUAGAGGCACAAAAUUUGAAAGAUGGCUGUAAUUGUCAAACCUUUCUGUAAAUCUAGAAAUAGAGAAUCAAUUUGAGUUCCCCUCUAGAUAGCCUCCAUCACUUUGAAUGAAAAAGAACUAGUUGCAUUUCACAUUUUCAGAGGCUGUGCUGUGUGUGAAUAGAUAAUUUUUUUGAAUUUAAUCCAUAAUGCUCAGACACAGUAUAUGUUCCAUAACCUACUGCAAAUAAAUAUCAGUGAUAUGUGUCUGUAAUGUAGGAGAUUAUUCUUAUUCCCUUUCUUGAAUGUUAAUGUGACCUGUGCAGCUUUCCAGUCUUAAGGUACAGAUCUUCUGUUCAGUGAGCUGUUGUGUAUGGUGGCUAACUGUGGAACUAUUAUACUAGCAUAUUCUUAAAGGGACCUAAUUGCUAUACAACCUGGACUGGAAGAAUUGCCUUUAUUUAAGUUGCUUCAAUACACUGAGGACAUCUACUUUGAAGUUCUUCAUGUUGGCAGCUGUUAUUGAGUCAAAUUGUCCAAUAAUUACUUAUGUCAAUGUUAGAUGCUGUAAUGUCUCUAAUAUUUAAGUACAUCAACCUGAGAUGCAUGUAAAUACUUAUUUAUCCUUCUGUAUAUGUCUUUGUCAAAGUUGUACGACUUUGUGUAUGUACUAAAGUGUAACAUAUGUAACAUGUUUGUGGUUAGGGAAUGUAGUGUUUUAUGUGACAGAAAACAUGAAGUCCUUCCAUAACAGAAUGGUUUAGGUGGGAGUGUAAAAGGUGAAUUUGUGGUGUUAGUGUGCCAAGUGUUCGUGUGGUUAGGCUUCGAAGAGUAAACGUAGACAGUGCUCAGUGAGAUAAGGAUUUGUGGAAAAGUGGAUUAAAUAAGACUACAAAGUGAAUUAUCUGCCACAGUAUAAUGGCAUUUAUUUGACUUGCUCUGAAAUUUGCAUUUCUGAUGCCAAGAACAACUAGUCAGAGCACAUUACAUUAAGAGCCAUGAUUUCAUUGUACAGCAGUGUCAUAGUCACAGAUUAUUGCCUUUAUAUCUGCCUUCAGGCAAAGUAAUGUUUUAAGUUCGUAUAUGCUUGCAUGAACCAUGUUUUGCUGUAAUUUUCACAUUAUAAAUGCUUAAUUUAAA